rnacentral:lncRNA from 1 species
CCUUCUUAUGUAGUGCCUGCUGCCCUGGAGAGAGGUUUGGGAGGUCCUGCACUGACCAGCCUUGGCAAUACUUCUCAAGUGACCCUUCUUACGUAUGCUACCUGGAUGCAUAAAUAGGUGUUUGGCAAACUCAAAAUGAAUAUAUCAAGAGUAUUCGGGAUAAGAGUCUGAAAUAAGAACAUGGGCUGCUGAAAUGCACAGCAAGUUAAAAUCUGGGUGAAAAGUGUGACAGAGGACUAUUCCUGGCCUGAAGAGAAGGAGGACCUCAGGCCAUAUUUUCAUCCCUUUCUUGAGGCUCAUGUGGAAAGGGCAGUCCUGGCUGAGGUGUAUGGCUGGAGAGAGCUGCCUGAAAAGCACCUGGAGAACAAGAACUGGAGAAGGAUCCUCACAACAGAACCUCUGAGUAACCUCACCUUAUCUAUCCAAAAGAUGGAGAGAAGGCAACACACAGACUCACAGCACAACCAGCACUGGAGGUGAGUGACCUACAGCCACAACAGCUCCCCCAGAGCUCAGAACACUGCUGAACUCCU